AUUUCAUGCAUAAGAUCAUGUCUGAUAUAUCUAUAGAGUUCAGCUACUAUACUAUCAAUAGCACAAAAUAUUUUAUGCUACUAAAUUUUUCGCUGUUAGAUUUACCCCUUAAACCAUUUUCACCCAUUAGAUUAUAUACUAUUCAAUCAACCACCCACUUAAUCGUAAAAUACCACUAUCAUCCUAACUGCACAUUUAUUUAUCCAAGGGUCGAAAAGUUAAUAGUAUCAAUGACUUAGUGCUAUUAAUAGCAUAGUAUUCUAGUUCUUUGUAUAUGCACACAUAUAUAUAGAGUAGGUCUUUUGUGCUAUUAGAAGUACGGAGACAUCUGUGUUCCUAUGUUAUUUUCGAUGAUGGAGCUUUCGAAUCGACAGUCGGCUGCAUCAGGCUUGAUCUAGCGUAUUUAAAGUAUCCAAAAAAAUAAAUUUUAUAACUUUUCAAUAUCAUUUACCUAGCGAUUGAAAUGGUUCAAAAUUAAUAACUUUUAAUGGUUGAUGUAUAUGGUUUGCAAGCUUAACGAUGUAGAAAUAUUCAAAUCGGAUAAAAUUUUGAUAGAAAAUUUUUUAUACUAUUUACUGCAAGAUCAAUAUCUCUGAUCGAAAAAUUUUAGUACUAUAUCAUUACUUUUCGUGAGAUUUACCGAAUUGAAAAAAGAGUUAGAAAAAUGCUUUGAUUCUCUUAUU
rnacentral:lncRNA from 1 species